CAUGCUAGAGGGAUCAGUAAAUCCUGUGGAGUAGUUGAUGAACCAGCUGACAGGGAAUGCCCAGCCUGCUGUGCAGCAGCAUUUCUGCUGUCCUCUGUGUAAAACAAGAGCACAUAGGAAUGUUAGCACCAAAGCAGCAGAAUUGCUGAAACACUGAUCUUUCAGAGCAAGACUUCUCAUCUCAACACGCCCCAACACUAAGAUGCAGCUGGGCACCAGACUCUGGAGAUGGGCUGGACUCCACUGGCACUGAAAUGUAAAGACAGCACAGUCAAAAGAGAAGAGGCGAACUGAAAGCUAUCUCUGUAUAUAGACUGUCCAACAGCAAUGCAGAGUGGGCAAGGCACUGGAGGGCUGACAUUCCCCGUGAAGGAGAGAGCAUUCAAGCAUGCUAAAAAUAGAUCCUUCUUGAGAAUGAGGUUGGGCAGCUGCCUCCCUUACUGCCACCCCUUAUGAUAUAAAUGCUUCUCCCCAUACUCUGUGAUUACUGAAGAGCCUGAGAGGGCACAUGCAGUUUGAGUAGUUGAAUUAAGAAACAAUGUCUAAAGAAUGCAAAUUUCUGACUCCUUGAAAAUGCCCGUGUAAUGUCUGAGUCUUAGUGACCAUUCAUCCUAUGGAAAUGAGCAUAAGAAUGUCUAUAUCAAGGUCUUCUUAGACCAAGAUCUUGACAUUGGCAAAGAAGAGAUGCCCAAUUACAUGAACAUAGCAAGUGUAUAGUGAUGUUUGCUGAGAAUAUCCCCAUAGCCCUUCUGACUUGUUGCUUUUAGAUGUAAUAUAAAAUAAAUUCUUUUCUUCUAUUGAUGUGACCAUUUCCUGGAGUUGUGCAGAACACAGCCGUGGUCAAGAAGUUAAACACUUUAUGUGCUACCCAGGUGCAAAACCUAAUGUAUUCUGUAGCAAAAGUUCUCCAUCUUGUGAUACAGUUAAAUAAAGACAAACACAGUUCUUCAGUUCUA